UAGUGACCAAAGGUUGCAGGGAAAGGGGCAGAGUUGCCCGGGUAGUGAUGAUGUCGCACGAUCACGUCCCCAUUCUUGUCUUCGUCAAUGACGAGGUUUGGCCGAAACUAGAACUGGAUUCGAGAAGCAUGUCUUCCGCGUGCACCGUCUUCGUCGAUCCCGAGUCCUCUGUAAUUGACCAAGUUCACUACACCACUGAACAACUCUUCCACCCUAGACAACUCAUCUUUGACCAAAAAGAUGUCGCUAGGCCUUUUCAGUUGCACCCAUAACAGAGGGUGUAUGUUUGUCCUCAACCAACGUUCAUUCACCAUGAUCCUUCUAGAGAGAUCUCAAGGGGAUUAAGAAGCCCUUCUGUAGAAACAUGACCAAAAGAAGCGAAAAUGCGACAAGUGCUGCGGUAGAAUCUGAUUGGAAGACACUUUGUUCGUGAGGUUUUACACUUUUGGCUUUCACCCUUAGUGAUACUAUGUAUUUAGUUCUUGUCUAUACCGGAUGGCAAACGAAUAAUUUCCUCUGGUGGAAAGAUAUCUACUUUUUACUGUGAGGAUCAAGUUUCUUGUGCAUGAAGUCUUAUAUUUAGUCAAAGGAAUGUAGAGCAUCAAGACAUGCAAACUAAAAAAGGUUGCAAACUAGCAAGCUACUUGAUCAUAAAGAGCCUUCAAGACCUCAUUAACUGAUUGACUACAAUGCAUUUAGCAUUUUAUGGUGUGUUUCGGUCUCUCAAAGUUGUUUUCUUGUUGAUAGGGAUGUACAAAUGCUAGAAGAAUUGGAAGAGGAAAGACCACAGGUUUAAGUAUUGCAAAGAAAAGGAGGAAGGGCGCUACAGGAAAAUUGCAUGUCAUCAUUCCAGCUGAUAAGAUUGUAGCUGUUGGACCAAGAACGGUAAAUUUCAUGACUGAAAUUUCCAUUAUUGUUCAACAACAUCCCCCUUUUAAUGUACAAAAGUGGAAAGGUGUUCAUGAUGUUGUGAAAGAAAGAAUAGUUAUGAAAGUUAUGGAUUCUUUUGUUGUUGAUGGUACAAGUACAAAACAUACUAAGGAGGUUAUCCUUGAUACGAUCAAAAGACUUCACUGAAAUCACAGAUGCAAACUUCACCAACAUUUCCAAAAAUAUGAAACACAUGAGGAAGCUUUGGAGAAUAAACCUACAAACUCAAGUGAUGAUGAAGAUUGAGAAUAUUUGGUAGAGUACUUAUCAAGUUCUAAUUUCAAGGAAAUUAGUACCAGAAAUAAAUUAAAUAAAUCAAAACAAGUUAAUUAUCACACAUUUAGAAGGAAAUCUUUUCAGGCCGUAAGCUUUGAAAAGAGAGAUCCUAUGACUCAAAAGAAGCCUAAUUUUCAAGAUUUAUGGCAAAUAACUCAUACAAGAAAGGGAGAAUGGGUAGAUGAAACAUCUAAGGAAGUACAUAUGAGGGUUGAAGAGGUUGCUUUAGAGAAGUUACAAGGCAUAAACAAGGAAGCCGAUAAAGACCAAAUUGUUAAUGCAGUCUUUUAAUCAAUUGUUGGAGAGCGAUCAGGCUAUUGUUGUGGUCAUGGUGCUGACAUUCAACCAACUAGGGGAAGAUCUACUAUGGGUUUACAUGAAGAGUUAACAAAUGAGUGUCAAUCUAUAGAAAUGAAAUUAAAAGAGGUUGAGAACCAACUUCAACAAGAGCGCAACAUGAGGAGGAAAUGACAACACACUUUGAAGAAAGUCAGAGACAGAUCCUGGAAAGUCGAAGAACAAUUCAAGAAAGAACUGACAAACAAAUUGAGGAAAGGAUGACAUCUAUUUUUUUUCGGAAUGCUAACUUUUUCGGGUGGAUUAUCUUCAAUUGCAAAAAAUAAUGAGUCUACACUUGGUGACAAAGUUGAAGCUACUGAGCACGAGAGAUAAAGAAGGCUCUGGAUGUGUUUUGUUGUGUUCAACUUGAUCCUGAAAAUGGGGGAGCUUAUAGUACAAUAGUGUUUGUUUGAAUAGAGUUAUUUCUUUUAUUGUAUUAAAAAUAGGAAACAACUUAGUUUCUUAUAGUGUAUUUAUUGUUUUUAUUUUAAAUUCUCACACAUUUAAUUAUUUAUAGUCACCUUUUCUAUUUUGG